rnacentral:rRNA from 1 species
GAUGAACGCUGGCGGCGUGCUUAACACAUGCAAGUCGAACGGUGAAGCAGGAGCUUGCUCCUGUGGAUCAGUGGCGAACGGGUGAGUAACACGUGAGCAAUCUGCCCUGGACUCUGGGAUAAGCGUUGGAAACGACGUCUAAUACCGGAUACGAGACGCGAAGGCAUCUUCAGCGUCUGGAAAGAACUUCGGUCCAGGAUGAGCUCGCGGCCUAUCAGCUAGUUGGUGAGGUAACGGCUCACCAAGGCGACGACGGGUAGCCGGCCUGAGAGGGUGACCGGCCACACUGGGACUGAGACACGGCCCAGACUCCUACGGGAGGCAGCAGUGGGGAAUAUUGCACAAUGGGCGCAAGCCUGAUGCAGCAACGCCGCGUGAGGGACGACGGCCUUCGGGUUGUAAACCUCUUUUAGCAGGGAAGAAGCGAAAGUGACGGUACCUGCAGAAAAAGCACUGGCUAACUACGUGCCAGCCGCCGCCGUAAUAC